UCUCCCGCCCGGCGCCGCCGCGCUGCUCCUCGGCGGCGUCGAGGGAGGUGAAGUUCCAGACGAGGAGCGUCUGCAGCAGCAGCACGAACCAAAACAGACCUGAAUGUGACCUUCGAUCUGUGGGGCCCUGGGAAUGGCUGAGCUGACUCUAUACAUACGUGUGCACACACUCUUCUAAAAGAAAUUACCGCAGCGCCCACCUGGACAAGGUCAUCGCACGUGUGACGCAGGAAACUUAACUCAAACAAGUUGCCCUCUAGGUGCAUCUUGGAUGGAACAGUACUUGAUCUUCAUCCCAAGGAAAUCAGUGUAUUAAAUUUGUUUGAAAAAUUAUUAUCCAAACCAUGACACCUUUUCCGACAGUGUUUGAACUGCAUACUAAAAAGACCAAAUUUCCCCUGAGAGCCAGCACAACUGCAGGGAAGAUGAAGUACUAUAGUAUAUCCUCCCUCUGCAAGAAAAUGUAUCUGCAGUAAAGGAAUGUAAUUUAGCUGAAUCCAAGCAUACCACAAGGACAGUAAAAGCAGCCAUCAUACCUGGUGUCUUCCACAAGUGCUUUGGUCCUCUCAAUAUUCAGCUGUCAAAAGCCAUUGAUCAGCCCAGUUAUGACUGCAGAAAAGCAAGCAGUAUAAUGAGAAUGGCCUUUGCUGACCUCUUCAGAAACAAUGCAGAAAGAGAGCAUCGCCGGUGUACAUCAGGUAGCUAUAUGGAGAUCUACAAAAUAUGUUACCAGAAAAGAGCCUAAGUGAAAUGAGACCAUCUUAAACAAAUACAAGGCAUUUUCAGUUACUGCUCCAUAAGAUGGAAGUCAGCUAGAAGACCAAGAUUCAGUUUUGGAAGCUGUGGCUCAUACACAUGAAUGAUGGUCACAGCAGGUUCUGUGGGAAAAUGCCAGACUUCAUCCAGUUCAUGUAGGACGCUGAACUUGGUUAGUGCCCAAGAAGUUGUAAUAUCUUGCUAAUGGACAGUUUCAGAAAAAAUAAAUAAAUAAAUCUGUUAA